AGAGUUUGAUCAUGGCUCAGAUUGAACGCUGGCGGUAGGCUUAACACAUGCAAGUCGUGCGAGAAAGUAUCUUCGGAUAUGAGUAAAGCGGCGGACGUGUGAGUAACGCGUAGGAAUCUACCUAGUAGAAGGGGAUAGCCCGGGGAAACUCGGAUUAAUACCGUAUACCUCCUUUGGGAGAAAGAGGGCCUCUCUUUGAAGCUUUCGCUAUUAGAUGAGCCUGCGUAAGAUUAGCUUGUUGGUGGGGUAAAGGCUCACCAAGGCGACGAUCUUUAGCGGGUCUGAGAGGACGAUCCGCCACAUUGGGACUGAGACACGGCCCAGACUCCUACGGGAGGCAGCAGUGGGGAAUAUUGGACAAUGGGCGCAAGCCUGAUCCAGCCAUACCGCGUGUGUGAAGAAGGCCCUAGGGUUGUAAAGCACUUUAAGUUGGGAAGAAAAGUUAUUGGUUAAUACCCAAUAACCGUGACAUUACCAUCAGAAUAAGGACCGGCUAAUUCCGUGCCAGCAGCCGCGGUAAUACGGAAGGUCCAAGCGUUAAUCGGAAUUACUGGGCGUAAAGCGCGCGUAGGUGGUUUAUUAAGUUGGAUGUGAAAUCCCCGGGCUCAACCUGGGAACUGCAUCCAAAACUGAUUCACUAGAGUACGAUAGAGGGAGGUAGAAUUCACAGUGUAGCGGUGGAAUGCGUAGAUAUUGUGAAGAAUACCAAUGGCGAAGGCAGCCUCCUGGAUCUGUACUGACACUGAGGUGCGAAAGCGUGGGUAGCGAACAGGAUUAGAUACCCUGGUAGUCCACGCCGUAAACGAUGUCAACUAGCUGUUGGAAAACUAUGUUUU
rnacentral:rRNA from 1 species